CUCUCUCUCUCUCUCUCUCUCACAGAGACGAUUAAGGCGGCGGAUCGACUGGAGCACGGCGGUGGCGGCUGAGGCCGGCAAUGGCGACAUCGGCGUUGCCGCCGCGCGUUCCUCUCCUCAUCUCCAAUCUCGGCGUCUCUCUCUCCUUCUUCCUCUGUCUUCAUCUCACCCUAUGUUAUCUUAUCUCUCAAAUCCCCAAUUUCUAAAACCCUAAAUUAUCUUCCAUCUCAAAUCCAGCGAAUCGUGUGAAGGAGGAGUUUGGGCGAAUCGUGGUGGGAGGAAUCGCCGAGGAAUCAUGUGAAUUUGAAUUUUUCCGAGGCCGAUUUCUCAUUGCGCAAGAUUAUCUCUUUCCAUUAUCAUACACGUGGCAGCUCGAAGCUCCUCCAGAUUCAGUUCAUGUGGUAGUGGGAACUCGAGAUAUCACUUAGUGUGGAGGAUUGUGAGGCGUUGUUGAGGGAGAAUCCGAAAAAUGAGGAGAUCGUGAGGAAGAUGAAGGAGGCGGAGGUGCAGUUGAGGAAGGGCGGCACCACCUAGGAUUGGAACGAUGUUGGCGGGGAUGCUGCUGGCUUGCUUGUGGUGGCCAGUAAUGAGCAUUUUAGGGACUUUGUGGCUUCUUUUGGUCAUUCUUCUCAACUAUAUUACCAUACCUCUCUGCAUUUGUUUCAUUUCAUAAUUUUUUUGGUUUUUUGGUUUAUAUUUAGGUAUUUGUGUUGUUCUAUUCUCUACCAAGUCAGUGGACUUUGUCGAGAUGCAGUACUUCAUUAUUAUUAUGCAGUACUUCAAUUACAUGGGGAUGCUGGCCGUGGAGGGCUCUUACGAUAAGAUGGAGGCCCUUCUGCAACAGAACAUUCACCCCGUCGACAUCUUGCUGCUCAUGGCCGCCUCCGAAGCCGACAUCCCCAAAAUCGAGGAGCUCAUGAGAGCUGGAGCUGAUCUAUUUGUUUGUCAUAAAGCAUGGUUUGGAGUUUCAUGUAUUUGUUUCCAAUGCUUGAUUAAUAUGUAUGCCAAACUUCGUGAGUUAAAAUAUGUCCCAAAUGUCUUUGACCACAUGUAUGUUAGAGAUAUAGUGUUGUGGAACUUCGUAAUUGUGGCAUAUGAGCAAAAUAAUCACCCAGAUGUUGCAAUCAAGCUCUUCCAUCAGAUGUAGAUGAAUAAGGUUCAACCAGAAUUGCUGACUCUAGUCAGCUUGUCUUCAUGCUUUGCUCAAAUGAAGGAUCCUUUAUGCGUCAAAUCUGUUCAUGGAUUCAUCACAAGGAAGUGUUGGAUUACAAAAGAUAUUGUGAUUGGAAAUGGAGUUAUUGAUAUGUAUGCCAAAUUAGGCAUUAUUGAUUCUCAGCAAAGCUGUUGAGGCAGACAAUGGUUGUAUACUCGUAUUCAAUAUAUAGUUAUAUUUUACUAUUAGUUGAUGUUA